rnacentral:lncRNA from 10 species
AUAGUCUAAUAAAUUCAUAGUUACUUAGGAAGAAGAGUCACCUUUGUGAUGGUAAUAUUAUUAAACAAUAAAAUAUUUAUUUCCAUUUGUUCAAAUGUAAUACGUCUCUUUCAGAGGUAUUUUAAAGUUAUCUUUAUAAACAAUUUCUAUGUUUCUAUGUUUCUAUGUUUCUCUCUAUCAUUAUGUCUUUGAACUAGUUGUUUUAUAUCUAUGGUUAUGUCAAACAGAAGCCAUAAAGUGCUUCCUUUAAGUGAAAAAGUAAACCUUUUUUUCUUUUUUCUUUUUUAUCUUAAAAAGGUUCUUGAUUUUUUGUAUUAAUCGUCUUCUGCUACCUUAGUGAAUUAUUUUAUUGCUGAGUCAAAUUUAUUAUUGAUUCUAGGAAGGUUCUAGAUAUACUAUCGUGUCAUGGGCAAACAGAAAUGAUUGUACAUCUAAUUUUCCAAUUUGUAGCAAUAAUUUAUUUCUGUUGCAGAUAGAUAUAUCUAGUAUAGUGUUCAAUAGUAGAGGUUUUAGUCAUAUUUAUUUUUGUCUGAUGUUAGUGGCAAUACUAAUAUUUCCACAUUAAGCAGAAUACUAGCUUUGUAAAUAAUGUAUUUGUUUUUAUCAUGUUAAGGAAGUAUCUAUCUAGGUAUUUUCUUAGUUAUAUUUUUAAGAGGAGCAGUCAUUUAUUUUUGCCAAAGGAUUCUUCAUCAGCUUUGGAGAUAAGCAUAGAAUGUUUCUUCUUCAAUAUAUUAAUGGUAUAUUAUAUUAAUAGAUUCCCUAAUAUUAAACCAAGCUUGCAUUCCUGGAAUAAAUGCCUAAUGGUAUUGAUGCAUUAUUUUCUUGAAGUGAUAUGAACACUAUUGAGUACAAUUUUCUUUAGGAUUUUAAUCACUAUUAAAUCAUUCAUUCUAAGUUUCUUUUUAUGCUUAUUUUUGGUGAUUGGAGAAGGGAUUUGUGAGCUUUGAUAAUUUUGCUAUUAUUUAUCUAUUUAUUUAUUUGCCUUCUUUUUUUUUUUUUUUUUUUUUGGAGAGCCCUCAAUUUCCCACUUUUUCUUCCAUUGCCGUAGUUACUGAAUGUUAAAAAAGUCUCUCAUUUUAUUUUACCUUUUUCUUCUCCAGCAAUGAUGCCUCUCAAAGCUUAGCACAAAGAACUGUGCCCUCUUUUAAUUCCUUUCUAUGUUUAGUCAUCUGAACAACCGCAUUUCUUUAAUUUCAUACUCACAGUGGAAUUUUUCUUGCUGGCAGUGACUACAGAUAAGUCUUGGUGCUUGUUCUUUCUUCUCUUUGGCAAAAUUUACCUGGAAGGCAUUCCUUUCACAGAAGUGAGACCAGGGAGUGUGAGAAAUAGCUUCACUAAUAUUUGGCUUAUCUUUUUUAUUCUUUUUGUUUAGUUAGAGAUAAUCUGAUUGUAUUUUUUCUGCCUUCUAGAUGUUCUGAGUGUGAGGGUUCUGUGUAGUCACAUGAGUUCUUAUGGAGGAGCUGCAUUGUCUUCUGAGAAACCAUAAAGAGAUACAGCUAGUGGUGACCACCAUUUUCAUUUUUUUGAGUAUUUUUUGUAUGAUUGAUUUUUUAAUAAAAGUUGAAAGACAUAAAAGAAAUAUGUAUAAUUUACUUAGAAUAAUGCCUAGCAACAUAAGUACAUAUGACAUAAAACAACAUUUAUAAAAUAUAUUAUGAAAAUCACAGCAUUUAACCAUGUCAAGUUCUUAUUGUGUGCUGACUUCAUUGGUGGGAACAGAAGCCUCAAACAAGCCUAUUGGAAUAGUAGGAGAGAGAGAGAGAGAGAGAAAAGAGAGAAUUCUUAUUUAUGUUUGCCUAUAGCCAUCCCAGCUAAAAUGUUCUCAUAUACACUGACUUCUACUAUAUAACAAAAGUCCCAAAACCUAGGUUCUGAGAACAAUUAUAGCAAUAUUAAAAGGUGAACAUUUUUACUGUGAUGUUAAAACAAAGGGCACAAAAUUAAAUUAACAGAACAUCAUUUGAGUUCUUACGAAAAAAUAUUCCAAAGCAUAUUCAUUGAGGUUACCUCUGGGAUUUCACCCAGAUGUGCAUUAAAAUGGUGCGGAUGGAGGAAACAUGUUCCAUGAAAUCAAUUCUCCCUCUCCAACUUUCCUGUUUUAUUAAGAUGACUACUACAUUGAAUAUAGACAUUGAAUUCUUUUAGCCUAGCACAUUUAUUUAUUUUUAUUUAUCAUUUAAACCAUUCUCCUGCCUCAUCUACCUACAUAUGCCUAUACAGCACCUAAAUGUUGAGAGCAAUGACAACUAUUUUCAUAAACUCCAACUAUGUAUAAAUGUAUAAAUAACCAUUUAACCUUUAAAUAUUGGGGUAAUCACUCAGCAAGCCAAAGGCAUAGAUGUCACUAGUUUUAAUGCACAUGCUGAUUUGCUCUUGGAUUUUAUCACUUACAACCAUUAAGAAUUGAAAGGAUAAUUUAUCUUGAAGGUUGAAACAUGUGUCUUUUAACUAAGUGUUAUCUAGGGACAAAAAAAAGGAACCAUAAACAGAUGGAUUAGUUCUCUAUGCACUAAAUCUAAAGGGUACUGAGCUGCAUGAUACGUUCUCUUUUGUUUUUAUCUCUAGCUCAAGGUCACGAUUGGAAAAUAGUAAUCCUCUCUGAAAGCUUCAUACCACAGGAAGUUUUAGGGUACAUGUGCACAAUGUGCAGGUUAGUGGAACGCAGCUCCUCACCAGCAACGGAACAAAGCUGGACGGAGAAUGACUUUGACGAGUUGAGAGAA